UUUGAAUAAUAAAUAAUAAUAAUAAUGCAACCAGACGUCAGGACACGUCAGGUCGGCUCCGUGUCAGCGCUCCACCUACAGAACGGAUGUACUGAUUGAGGCAGUUUGUUUGUGGCUGCAUGGCCUAUGAAUAAAACUCCCCAAAUGAAUAUGUAAAAUCCAGCCCACAAUUUACAAUGCGGGAGAGUUAUACGCAAUUUGGCACGGUUAUAAAAAAAGAAAAUAGAGCCUCUGCAGUCGCCUUGCACCCAUUUAUGCAAAUGACGAAGGCCAGAAGGGGUGAUGGGAUCGGGAGGUAGAGGAGAAAGGGGGGGGGACCUUCAUCCCUCACCAAAGAAAUUAUAGGAAGGCAAUCAGCAGACAAGCAGAAAUGAAGGAACUGGCUCCUUAAGGAAAAAGAGAACAAUGCGGAGGAGGAGGCGCCUCCUGCUGCUGGAAGGAAACGCAGGACGGUUGCACCUUGAACAGAGGUGACACGGGUCUGCAGGUCCAAGCGAACGCGUCCAAACCAGGUGGACACGCGCUUUGGGACUCAUGUCCCAUUGACCGGGCGGCGUGUGACGGCUGGGUCGUACCUGCUUUACGUGCUAAGGAUUCGGCCCGACGGCUCCGCUGCGUGCCCGACCGGCUCCCUCCAUCCACGGAGGUCUGGACCGGACGCGUCCGCGCUGAGGCGCCCGAGCUGCCGCCUGAGCCGGCGGCUGCAGCCCGCUGGAUCCGACCGGACAAAGAUGGUAAAAGUAUUUCACUGUUGAGCACCUGCAGGGUUCUAAUCCAAAGGCCUCCAGCAACACAAAACGUGGGAGAGGAGAAGAUGACAAACGUAAAAGCUGCAGCGCCGUUAUCGAGUGAGCGACUGGAGAUCCGUUUCCCCGAACACAUUCCAGCUGUGAACAAACCUGACAGCUGGGGAGAUGCUCUAGAGAAAUAACACCAUCAUCAGCAGAAAGCGGGAACUGAGAGGAGAUGAAAGGGUGAAGAAGAAAUCACACACUCGUAUCAACAGAGGGAAAACUUUUAAACCUCAGUACAAGUUUACUGAAAAACCUCAACGCGGAGAGCAGCACAUAGCUGAUAAUAAUAAAGUGUGCUUUCAAAAUCCUUCCAAUUCUAAAAUCAGACCUACAGCUUACCAACCAUCACAAGCACACCGGUGUUCAUAAACAUCUCAUUUGUAAAUACCUCGGCUCUCUUUUCACCCAAACGUUUAAAACUUUAGAACUCAGUACGUCAAAGUUAUUGGAAACAUGUAAUUGUGAGGUAAUAUGACAUUAGGAGAGAUCACUGAAUAAAUGGAAUCAGUAACACUGACAAAACUGUUUAAUGUGGA